UACGUAGGGUGCGAGCGUUAAUCGGAAUUACUGGGCGUAAAGCGUGCGCAGGCGGUUCGUGAUGUCUGGUGUGAAAGCCCCGGGCUUAACCUGGGAACUGCAUUGGAAACUAGCGGGCUGGAGUGUGGCAGAGGGGGGUGGAAUUCCACGUGUAGCAGUGAAAUGCGUAGAGAUGUGGAGGAACACCGAUGGCGAAGGCAGCCCCCUGGGCUAACACUGACGCUCAUGCACGAAAGCGUGGGGAGCAAACAGG
rnacentral:rRNA from 1 species